UGGGGAAUUUUCCGCAAUGGGCGAAAGCCUGACGGAGCAAUACCGCGUGAGGGAAGACGGCCUAUGGGUUGUAAACCUCUUUUUUCAGGGAGGAAUAACUGACGUGUACCUGAAGAAUAAGCAUCGGCUAACUCCGUGCCAGCAGCCGCGGUAAGACAGAGGAUGCAAGUGUUAUCCGGAAUCACUGGGCGUGAAGCGUCUGUAGGUUGUUGAACAAGUCAACUGUUAAAUCUUGGGGCUCAACUUCAAAAUCGCAGUCGAAACUGUUUGACUAGAGUAUAGUAGGGGUAAAGGGAAUUUCCAGUGGAGCGGUGAAAUGCGUAGAUAUUGGAAAGAACACCGAUGACGAAGGCACUUUACUGGGCUAUUACUGACACUCAGAGACGAAAGCUAGGGUAGCAAAUGGGAUUAGAUACCCCAGUAGUCCUAGCCGUAAACAAUGGAUACUAGAUGUUGAACAGAUCGACCUGUGCAGUAUCAAAGCUAACGCGUUAAGUAUCCCGCCUGGGAAGUAUGCUCGCAAGAGUG
rnacentral:rRNA from 1 species